rnacentral:rRNA from 1 species
UUUUUCCUGUGUUUUUGAUUUGAGGUAUAACCCGCCUCCCGACUAAUUAUUAAAUGGCCGCGGUAUUUUGACCGUGCAAAGGUAGCCUAAUCAUUAGUCUUUUAAUUGAGGACUGGAAUGAAUGGUUGACCGAAAUCUAUACUUUAUUUAUUUUAUUUUAGUUGAAUUUGAUUAUUGAGUAAGAAGGCUUAAAUUUUGUUAUGGGACGAGAAGACCCUAUAGAGUUUUAUAUUAUUUUUAUUAUUUAUGUUGGUGGAUUAAAUUUAAUAGUUUUAGUAUUUGGUUGGGGUGAUUAUAGGAUAAAUUUAACUCUUAUUUCUGGUUUAAUAUUGAUUUAUAGAUUUUUGAUCCUUGAUUUUGAUUAUAAGACUAAAUUACCUUAUGGAUAACAGCGUUAUUUUUUUUUGAGAGUUCUUAUUGACAAUAAAGAUUGCGA